GGUCUGGUGGUGUAGUGGUAACACCUCCCUCUUUGUUAACUUUAUCAGUAGUGGGAUGUCCCUUGUUCGAAUCAAGGCCAGGCCA